ensembl:lncRNA
GGGUUCUGAUGCGUGAUCACCGUCGGGUCGACUGUCAGCUUGUGAUGAGUUCCCCAGGUGAUCCUCUGAGGCUUUGCAUGACUUGGUGGUGUAAUAGCAUGUGCAGAGACCCGGUGCGAUAUGUACGCUGUCACGUCUGGGGGGGGGGGGGGGGGCUCAGGUGUGUUCAUGAGAGGCCUCGGUGCUGAUUAUCUCCCCUCCGGUGCGUCACCCGCGUCUGUUCUUUCCGCUCAGGGACUCUACUUCCUGUCAUGUCAGCUGAGCGCUUGCAUGAGGGCGACAUGAGCCCGCUGCGCCUUCCUCCAUUGUUCCUCCGUUCUGGCGUUUUCUAUUUUUUUCACCUUUUUAUCACAUGACAUUCAUGCAAUGAGCUGCAGGAUGACUUACACCUGAUGCUGCGCAGUAAGGAGAAGCUAAAAACGCCGGUCGUGCAGAAAAAGGUCAGCGGCUUGUUGUUUAUUUGCGGAUAUCAGACCUGCAAAAAAAAACCGUGUGACCUCUGAGGCCUCCGAUGGAGCCGGGAGCGCCGAGCGCUGGGACCAGGAUGCUUCUGAAGGACGCCGUUUCCUAAUCAGCUUCCUCGCCGGGGUUCAUUAUGCAGCCGGCGGGACACGGCGAUGAGCUCAAGUCAAACGGCGUACGGAUGGAAGAUAAACCUUUAAACCCCCGACGCGGGUCAUACUGAGCGCCGUGGCCUCUGAUCCGCCACCCGACAGCCGGGCGAGAUCCUCCCCAAGGCACAUUUCAGAGUUUCUGUCCGAUGCCCUUCAUGACCACACCGCCGUGCUGCUGUGCUGUCAUGUCAGUCCUUUGCCUUCGUGUCGAGUUGCGGCUGCGAGGACGGCUCCUCGUCGCUCUACUGGUCGGCCGCUGUGACCAGUUCAAACCACUGCCUGAGUGCGUCGCUCAGGGUCUCCGGCAAGGCGUUGACGUCGCGCAGGAUGACGUAGAAGGGGAAGGGGAACUCCUCCAUGUAGGAGCGGAUCUCGGGCAGCUCUCCGGGCCCUUUGAAGAUGGGCACCUUGAUGUCCAGGAUGGAGUCCUGCGGCGCAGCACCGAGCUUACGGUUACACUGUGUCCGGAGGACAUUCGGGGCCCAGUACAUCAUUUCAUUUCAUUUCUCUUACCCGGGAGUUCGGGUUGUCGAGCGCCACGAACAUGAUGAACACGUUGGCGCUGCGUGCGGCGCGCACGGCCGCCAUCACCCGCUCCUUCCCCUCCAGGAACAAGCCGCGCCCGUCGGACACGAUGACCAGCAGCUGGGCGGUCUCUGUGGAGAGAGAG